AUUUUCGGGUGAUCGCGGUUUGAAUUUAUUCAAGCUGAGGAAAGUCCAUGCUCGCACAGGCUGAGAUGUCUGUAGUGUUCGUGCUUAGCGAAAUCAUAAGCUAAGGUAUUCUAGUAAUAGAGUAACGGCAGGAAAAAUGACUAAGGUUUCGGCUAUGUCAAAGUACCCUUGAAAGUGCCACAGUGACGAAGCAAUUUUGGAAACGGAAUUGGUGGAACGCGGUAAACCCCUCGAGCGAGCAACCCAAACAAUGGUAGGGGCGCUCUUCUAAAGGAAAUGAACGAGUAGAAGAGGCAGAUUCAUUUCUGCAGAUAGAUGAUGACCAUCGAGUGUCUUUCCCUGAGAGGCAUUCGAUACAGAACAUGGCUUACAGAA
rnacentral:RNase_P_RNA from 2 species